rnacentral:lncRNA from 1 species
GUGGACAGGCGGGAAUAGGUUGGUGCAAGGGGCCAGUUUGGGUCUUUCUGCAUGACCCUGCAGUUGUGCUGGUCCUGUGGGUUUCCAGAAGAGUCAAGGACCCUAGGCAAAGUCUACAACUAAAGAUGGCUGGACACUCCUCGAUCUGUGAAGCCACUUGGCCACGCAGCCUCUGGUGCAGAUAGUCUCCCAGCAACAGAGGAGGGACCCCGGGGAUACUUGCUAAGUUACCAAGCUGUUUAUGUUGAGCCGCGUGGCCUUUGCAGCCAGGCCUGCUUGAUGCUGUUGGGACUUCUAGAGGUCUGGCCCAGGGCAGGGGUCUGAACCCAAGAAGGUCGCCUGGCAGGAAAACAAGGCCUAGACUUGCAACACAUUCAGAAUGCCUGGAAGCUGCUGAGCAGAGAUCAGAACUUGCCUGCUGUUUCUGAAGCACUCUGACAUGAAGCCAUGGAAACAGAUGCGUAUAGGACUCUGUGUGUCUCCUCCUGGACUCACACUUGCCAAGAAACAAGCCAGGAGCUGCUGGCCCCGACCCACAAGGGGAACUGCUUCCUUACAACUCUUCCUUGAGGCUCUCUGCUGCAUCCUGCCGACCCCAGGUGUACAUCCAGACAGGAAGCCACAAAUGCUCCUAGAAUAUUGAAGAUGAACAGAGGCGGCAAGGGCAUCUCUGUGAGCUCAGACUAGGGCUCACCAUCUCCUGCUCCGCAGCUCCGGAGGCCACACAUCUGUCAGUAAUUUUGCCUUCAUAAAUAGCUGUGCUUCCAUUUGUUUGAAAGGCUGCCUGCGUGGGUAGAUGGCCCCGGGCUCACCAAUUUCCUCCUGAAAUGGUGCAGGACACCUGAACUUUACCAAGUAAAUGCAGUCUAUGCUCCUGAGAGCCAGGAGCAGAAGGGGGACUAUGGAUCCUCUGCUCCAACAGAGAGACUUGCAGCAUCCUGAGUGACUGUGUUGCCUCCUCUCCUGUCUACCCGUCCCUUCUAGGAACCCAGUAGUACAGGAGGUUCUCUAGCCACAGGCUGGCAGCAUGUCACAGCUGGACCCCUAUUAGCUUUGUGUCUGCCAGGAUUUUGAGAGUCAUGGUGGGGCUAGAAUGCCUGGGCCCAGGCUGUUUCUGGGUCUUCCUUGAGCCCCAAGUCCUGGGACAGUGGCAAGGCAUGCCCCUGCCCCCACUGGUGGCAGGAGGAAGCCAUUCAUCAUCCUGGAGAUCUGGCUGCUGGUAUGUUUAUCUGCAGGAAGGAAAUGAAGUCUUUUCAUCUCUUCCCAGCGGCGUCUGGCCCACUCACUCUCCAAUCUGUCAGCCAGGGGAAAUUUAAAUAAUGGGCUGCUCUCUGUCC